CUCACCUCGGGAAAUGAGAAGACGGCUCGGUGAGGGGCACCUUUCCUAUGGUCUCUUUACACCCAUCCCAUUCACCUGAGGCAUGUUCCUGCUCCCAUAUCCCAGCCCAUGACUCUCCCGCAGGCCUGUCUCCAGAGACCCCCUGCUCUCUUAUCCCCAUUCAAGACCCUUCUGUUCCUGACCCUAACCUUGUCCCCAGGGGCCCGGAUCUUUACCCCAUCCCUGACUCCUGAGACUUCUUCCCUUUAUGCCUAUCCCUGACUUCUGGCCCUGACCCUGGGGAUCUACCCCUUCCCACCACGCAUCCCUCACCCUAGGAGGAACCAGAACUACUUGGACAUCCUGCGGCUGCUCUCGCUGGGCGACCGGCAGCUCAGUGCCUUUGACAUCUCUCUGCGUUUCACACACCUCUUCUGGUUUGGGGACCUCAACUACCGCCUGGACAUGGAUAUCCAGGAGAUCCUGAACUACAUCAGCAGGAAGGAGUUUGAGCCCCUCCUCAGGGUGGACCAGCUCAACCUGGAGCGGGAGAAGCACAAGGUCUUCCUUCGAUUCAGUGAGGAGGAGAUCUCCUUCCCACCCACCUACCGCUAUGAGCGGGGUUCCCGGGACACAUAUGCCUGGCACAAGCAGAAGCCAACUGGGGUCCGGACCAAUGUGCCCUCAUGGUGUGACCGGAUUCUGUGGAAAUCCUACCCUGAAACUCACAUCAUCUGCAAUUCUUAUGGUUGCACUGAUGACAUCGUCACCAGCGACCAUUCCCCUGUGUUUGGGACAUUUGAGGUUGGAGUUACCUCCCAGUUCAUCUCCAAGAAAGGGCUCUCGAAGACUUCAGACCAGGCCUACAUUGAGUUUGAGAGCAUCGAGGCCAUUGUGAAGACAGCCAGCCGCACCAAGUUCUUCAUCGAGUUCUACUCUACCUGCCUGGAGGAAUACAAGAAGAGCUUUGAGAAUGAUGCCCAGAGCAGUGACAACAUCAACUUUCUCAAAGUACAGUGGUCUUCACGCCAGCUGCCCACGCUCAAACCAAUUCUGGCUGAUAUCGAGUACCUGCAGGACCAGCACCUCCUGCUCACAGUCAAGUCCAUGGAUGGCUAUGAAUCCUAUGGGGAGUGUGUGGUUGCACUCAAGUCCAUGAUCGGCAGCACAGCCCAACAGUUCCUGACCUUCCUGUCCCACCGUGGCGAGGAGACAGGCAAUAUCAGAGGCUCCAUGAAGGUGCGGGUGCCCACGGAGC
rnacentral:sRNA from 1 species